rnacentral:misc_RNA from 1 species
GAUGAAGAACGCAGCGAAAUGCGAUAAGUAGUGUGAAUUGCAGAAUUCAGUGAAUCAUCGAAUCUUUGAACGCACAUUGCGCCCUUUGGUAUUCCAAAGGGCAUGCCUGUUCGAGCGUCAUUUGCACCCUCAAGCUUUGCUUGGUGUUGGGCGUCUUGUCUCUAGCUUUGCUGGAGACUCGCCUUAAAGUAAUUGGCAGCCGGCCUACUGGUUUCGGAGCGCAGCACAAGUCGCACUCUCUAUCAGCAAAGGUCUAGCAUCCAUUAAGCCUUUUUUUCAACUUUUGACCUCGGAUCAGGUAGGGAUACCCGCUGAACUUAAGCAUAUCAAUAAGCGGAGGA